rnacentral:lncRNA from 1 species
CUCUGACUGAGCAGCCUCUGUCUUUCAGAACUGACUCUUUUGCAAGAUCAUUUAAAAGAUUCUUUCCGUGUAUUGGUGACUCUUUGCAGAAAAGAGGGCUUAUUUAAAUAAUUCACUGUAUGUCCCAGGGAUGCUGACACAAGGAGUCAUCCUUUCUAAAUCCUUCAGAGGGCACUCUCUGCAACCUCCGGGCUCUUCAGACAAGAACUAUGCUCAGCCUUUUCAUCAGCAUCCAGUGUAUCCCCGAGUGUUUGCUGCCGCCACCACGAGAGCUUGGAGGUUCAUAAACCCAAGACCACACAGCAAUAAAGAGAAACACUUAAAUCCAAG